UCGGCCUCGAGUCAAUCAACUGCGGUUAAACCGCGCUCUGUCCGGCUCAAGGUGAAGGAACCCUCACAUACACCUUAGCCUUCAAUCCACAAUCAAGUCGCCCAAUGGGUCGCCCAGAGCUGCGUACACCCGUGGUCAUGGAUCUUUCUGCUGCGGGAGAGGGAUCGUUGCCAACACGACCCGCGGCUCAAGACCCCCGAUAGGGAGGGGAACAUUGCCAACUGCCCCCUAGCGAUCCAUGAUUCUGCCGACGGGAGGGGAACCUUGCCAACUGCCCCCGUGGCCUUGAAUCCUCCACAAGCUCACUCUCGAAGUUCGUCGAAUGGGAGGGGAACCUUGCCAACUGCCCCCACUGUUUUAGAACUAUCGAGUUUAC
rnacentral:lncRNA from 1 species